UCAAACACCAACAAAAUUCGUCAAACUCAAACAACAUAUCAAACUCUACACAUCCCUUCUCAUGUUUUAGGUAUAGAGCUAUCCAAGGGGCGCAUAGAGCAACUGUCAAUAGUUACAAUUGGGCAGGUCGGCUAGGCCUAUACGUUUGUUGGGCUGCGACUGGAUUGGAGGGAGAUCUCACAUUGAAUGCAUAUGAAGAGGAUUGUGAAUUUGCGGAUCCAGCAUGAUCUUUCAAAGGACUUCCGUGUUUUAAAAGGAACUGCACUAAUUUUGGAUCCCUUCUGAGGAUAAAUGAAUUGGCCACUGGUGAUUCAGCUGCGUCUUAUCCUUUCCUUGGAGGCUUAUUCUUUCUGCAACUGGAUACACAGAAUAUUAUUUUGAUACACAAUCAGGAAAAGUAUGCAGUCAUGCGGAGCAUUGGAAUGUUCCAAAAGUGGCUUUGUUCAAGCAAAUUCUAAGGCCUAGCAAGGGAUUUAGCUUAAAAGAUUAUGUGACUAGGUGGUUGAAGUUGUCCAGGUGAAUAGGUAAAUUAUAAAGAUUACAAUGUCAAUAUUUCAUUAUACGCAUGUAAGUCUGUGAUAUAGGUAUGUACUAAUUAUAGAAGUCUAUGGUAGGAGCUUAUGAUGUACUAGCAGUGGCGGAUCUUGAAAUAUUUUCUUGGGGGUGCCAGAAUUGUAUGAAAUAUAUAUUAAGUUGUUUCAAGAGAAGGAUAUAAUUGUUAACUGGUCCAGUGGUUUGUUUUGCUUGAAUGCAGAGCAGGGUCGAACUCGCGACCUCUGAUGGAAAAUCAAACAUCAUUUCCACUGCACCUUCUGAGUUCUAGUAUACAUAUUAUGCCUAAUCUAAUAUAUAUAGAAUAUCUGGGGGGGUACCAUGGCUCCCAGGGGUCCCUGGGAAGAUCCGCCCCUGUGUACUAGUAAUAUCCUGUAUAUAUAUGGUUUACCAGAUUAAUUAGGUUUGUGAAUGUGGUUUUGUUACCAGAAAAAAUAACAGAGAAAAGGAGAUAAUGUUUUUGUUACUUAAACUGAAGUUUAUUUUUUGUGCACAUAAAGUAAAGUUUGCUUAAUUAUUGAUGGAUUAUUCUGUACAAAUUCCCCCAUAUGGCCAACAAAUAC
rnacentral:lncRNA from 1 species